UACGUAGGGUGCGAGCGUUAAUCGGAAUUACUGGGCGUAAAGGGUGCGCAGGCGGUUAUAUAAGACAGAUGUGAAAUCCCCGGGCUCAACCUGGGAACUGCGUUUGUGACUGUAUGACUAGAGUACGGUAGAGAGGGGUGGAAUUCCUGGUGUAGCAGUGAAAUGCGUAGAUAUCAGGAGGAACAACAGCGGCGAAGGCGGCUCUCUGGACUGUAACUGACGCUUAGGCGCGAAAGCGUGGGGAGCAAACAGG
rnacentral:rRNA from 1 species